CUCUGCAGUAACUGCUGAGACCCCACCAAAGAGCAGAAAUUAGGGAGAAAUUUCAGAAGCCAGCUUGGACAUGAUGCUUUCUAUCUGCGUGAACGUGAGGAAAAGAUAAAGGUGAGUGCAAUAGAUGUUGCAGAGGCUGCAUAGCCUGCAGGUCAGUGUGAGCCCACACUGAACACACAUCGGGUCUCUGCACCAGCAAAGUAAUCUGAAGGCAAUUUUGGAGAGCUGCGUGCUCACCAAACACCGAGCUGCCUUUAUCUGAAAUAUAUUGUCUGUGUUAAGGAACUUCAAUACCAGAUGUCUUACGUGCAAGACAGACAGCCGGUUCAACUACAGCAGUACUCCAACAGGGAUGAAUAUCAUCAUGGGGGGGAUUGCAAAGCACAUUAAGGGGGAAAUGGGUGCUGAGAUUUCUUCCUCCUGGUGGUCCCCUGGAAGACAGAGACACGCUGUGGUAGGAGGGCUGAAUGUUGUGGCUGAAGUCAGAGAAAAACCAGGCAGAGAGGAGCCCAGGGAGCACUCUGGAGCAUUGGGAUUGCAGGUCAGUCCCCACAGCACAUACCUCCAUCAGGUGGACAUAGUUUGGUGUCUGAAGAAACAACAGCGAGAUCAAAUAUCCAUUAGAAUGAUUUCUUCUCUUUCCAUGCAUUCCAUCAUGAGUGGUGACAGGAGCUGUAGGGCUCGAGAAUGUCAACCCAUAGGACAUCUCACACCUGGGCUGCCCUUAAGGAGGGAAGGGACGGGCCCAGUAACACACACACUUCAGUGGACGUAGAGCACUGCUAAUCUACAUCAGGACUUACACCAGGGCUCCUAUCUACCCCGGUCCUGCUCUGUAAGGAGCCUGAAUUCCGCGGCAGGCAAAGAGACACUCAUUUGGUGGAGAGCAGGGAUUCCUCUGUGAGCCCCACCAGAUGGAAACCCAUUUUGCUCAGGAACUGCACUGGGAGUUGACACACUUCUUGCAAAACAAGCACAGUGCCAAAUCUCCAGGCAGAAAGCCAUGCUUGAAAAGGGUUUUUUUUUUUAACAAUGUGCUCUCAUCUGCUUUUUCCUCUUAGCAAAAACUUCCUCACUUACCAGUUUAUAUCUCCCGCUGCCAUAGUUUCCCUUCAGCUUCAUAUCUCAGCUCCUGCUCUGCUCUCUGUGCACAUUUAUACACCAAACACUUUGCAGAAAACUUGAAAGGACUGCAUUGUCCUGCUAAUUGGUUAUAAGCACGUUAUCUGCAAUCUGCUGUCCCUGCCCAGCUAUUGUGCUCCCUUGGGGAUAAAACACACAUUAUUUAUUUGGAAUAAGUGCAUGUUAUGCUUAUAACAAGAUAAGCACAAAACAAAAAAAUUACAAAUUAGAAACAUCAUUUUUCUCUUCACAAUGUUCAAGCUGGGAAUAUAAGCACUUGUACAAUAUAUGCAUGCAUACAGUGAAGGCAUAUAUGCAGGAUCCAUCUGAUUUGCCAGACCUGAAUACCUCAGUUUUGAGAACCACGUGUGCAAAUGCCAAGUAAUCUGACUGCUGCUGAAGGUGGACGUGGUGUAAAUCUGAGACCUCUGCAGGCUGCUGAGGGAUGCUCUGCACGUUAUCACAGCCUCAGAUGACCCUGGAGAAAAUCUCUGAGUGAGGAAAGAGGAUACAACUGGAAAAAAAGAACAGGCUAUGUGAGGAAUAUUUAUAAAACAUUUCUAAUCUCUACUCUCUGCAUAUCUUGAGAGAUGAGGAAAGUGCUUCUUGAGAGAAGGCUCUGUAGGCAGGCUGCAGUAAGGGGUGCUCAAAAUGCACAUCCAUUACUUUUGGGUGGUUUAUCAGUUUCAUUAUCAGAUUCAAAAUUAGAACCCCUUCCUUGUGAGCAGUGGUAAUUGUGUCUUAAAAAGGCACAGUGAAGAAAAUACAGUUGUGUGCAGAUCUGCAGAGCACAAUGGGGCCUCCACUGCCAGCAGGGGUCCCAGGCAUGAUCUCUCCUCUUGGGCAAUUCCAACGGGAGAACCCUGAUAACCCUCAUAUCUAGAUCUGUAAGAGCAACUCAUUGUCCUCUGCUAUCCUGUAAUUUAAAUAACACAUGUAGAGCCAUCAGCAGCCGGCAGACAUAUUGUGCUAUACAGUUGCCUUGCUGUUCAAAUUAACGUAAUUACACGCCCAGUUCUCCUAUUUCAGUUGUAAUAGUGAAAACAGUGAACUUGCUGAUAACAGUGAGUACAAAGGCUCUGUUUUCUAGUUUAAGAGCUAAGCUCUUGUGUCAAAAGAGCAGUUUAAAGUUCACAGCCUGCUCUUAGUGGUCACACUUCAGCCACCAGGUGCACUUACCCAGCUCCACUUUCCUCCUUUCUCUCCAGAAUGCUUUAUGGGGAAGAGCUGUGUUUCCCUAAAUAAGGCAAAUAUCCUUUAUUCAGCUGGGCACUGGCAUGGAGUAACAUCAGUGUGGUUUCGAUAUGGCUCAAAAACCGUGGGUUGUUAAGCUGUGGUGGAAGGCAGCACGUGAAAAACCCCAGCCCUUCUUUCAUGAAAGGGGAGCUCAGGCCUCAGCCUUGGAUGAAGGCUCCUUGUGCAGCCCUGUACCACUUUGCCCCCUAAAUACAUCAUGUGAGCUCUUUGUGCCACCACAUCAUAAACCAGCCAUGGGAAUGGAAGAAGACUGCAGAGACCUCCCCAAAGGGCACCACUGCACUGCCCAGUGCCUGGCUGGAAGAGGCUGCUGAAACAAAGCAUGGGUGUAACUCAAGUUUGGAUUUAGCACUUCCUUUGCCAACAAGCACUGCUAAAAUGGAAACUGCUCAUAACAAAGAACACAAAAGCAAAACUGAAAUCAAAAAAUCCCCAUGAAGUGAUCUCGUAAUUAGCAGCUAUUUCUCAUAAAUAGCCGUUGCCUUCCAAAACUAAUUUCAUUAUGGAUAAGCAUUAGGCAGAUCUUCCCCCCAAUCUGUUUGAGCAGCAUGAAAGCACAGGUUCCCCUCCUCUCCUUGAACUCUUCCCUGUGUCAGUGUCUCCUUGCUAGCCCACAGGGUAACCGUCCAGCUCUUGGCUGGCCUAAUGAACUGUAGUGGCCCCAGUUUGCUGGCAGCCCCAGAGCUGAUCCAAAGCAAAAAACAACAGCCCGGGGCCGAGCGCUGUGUGCUUUGCCAUGGCUUCACCCAUUUGCAGCCUCCUCACUGCUGAGCUGAGUCCCACCAAAGCCUUACAUCAGCACAUCUUUGGGCCUUGUCAGCUCUUGCCAGUGUCAACUUCGAGCUGUGCUUCUCCAGAUCCAUCUCUGUGUGUCCAUGUAUCUUUAAAAGGACACAAACCCCCCUCUGCAGCCCUCUCCAUGGCAAUCUCACCUACAGAAUCCGCCAACACAAGUUUUCAAUUCUUAUCUGGAAAAGGUUUUGAAAUGGUUUUACUAUUGUGAAACAUUUUACAGGGAAGUCUGGAUUCCUUGAAUAGAUAUCUGAAUUGACGGUUGAAGCUCCAGGACAUGCCUUUGCUGCAUUUCCAGUUCUCCUCCUCCACCACUAAAGUUUUCCCCAUGCAAUCUAAGAUCCUUCAUCAACUAGAAAAAUUAGAAGAAGUCAACUGAAUCAUCACAAGAUCACGUCCAUGUGUAGCAAAACUGUUUUAAGUGUCUCCUCCCCUGUUUUGCUGUGCUGCGCAGUUUGUCAUCCCCUCAGCUGUGCCCCCCCAUUCUGGUGUCCCUGCUGAGAAACAGCUUCCAGAAAACAGUCAGUUCAAACUUUUUUAUAAGUGCUUUUUUUUUUACCUUCUUCUGUGAUCUAUCUAUCUUUGUACUGUGGCCCCAGUUGUCCCGGUCAGCUCCAGCACAGCGUGGGAGGGGAUGGCCAGGCACUGCUCUGCCCCAGCUCCAAAGGAACCGUGGUAAAAGAAGCAACUCCAAGGGGGUUACAAGGAGGAGCUUGCAAGGCCUCCUGGCUCCUCUGCAGAGGUGGGGGCAGUGGGGAUUUUCAAGGCCUCCCUACUCUACCCGCUGCAGGACCUUGCACACACCCUAUGCAUUACCUCCCGCAGCUUCUCCCUCCUGUCAAAUGAUCCACUCAUCCUCCCCAGCUCAGAAAUCCUGCCCAUGCUGAUUUCCAGUUAAAGGAAGACCAACGACUCUACACAUCCACUUGGAAACACCAUCUGAAAUGUUGCGGAUCCCUCAACACUGUGCACUCAGAUCUGGGAAGAAAUACGAGUCCUCAACAGGACUCAAAGCACCUUUGUGAAGGCUCUUUCUAACUGUUGACAUUCUAUGUUCUGUUUUCAAAUGCACUUUAUUUGCAUUACCUGAAUAAACCUUCUGUUAAUAAGUUACCUAGCAGCUCUGAGUGAUCAGAACAGUAGUUAAUCUGCUGAUAAUGUUGAUAUUCAGGCAAAUAAGAGUAGCGACUGAACAAAGUUGAAUACAAGUUGGGAAUGCUUUGCUUGCUGAGAGGUCUCUAGUUUGCUUACGUGUUAACUCACAUCUCAGCUAAUGAGAAAAAACAAGUAUUGGGAGUUAUUCAAAACGAAGCUCUGGGCUGCAUGCAGCAAACACACAGCUCUGAUACUGAUUGUUAAAAAUACUUUGUUCUCUACCUUAGGAGUUUAGGAAUUAGCUGUUUAUUAUCGGGGAUCUUUCUGAACAUCCUUCCCAAGUAAAUAAGGAAAUCCUUCUUAAAAGAGUCUGAAGAAGUGUUUGUUAAACCUUUUUGUUCCCAGACACUCCAGUUCUCCUCUCGCACACCGAUGUCAGCUUGAGUUCAACCUGAAAAAACCGAGCAUGGCAAAGCAAAAACCCGAGCCCUGAGAGCAAACACCCUGCAGCUCAGUGAAGCACGCAGCAGUUUGCUUUCAGUUAACUAUUGCUAUAGUUAUAUUUUUCAGUUAAACAUUACACAACUUUGGAGUAGGAAUGGUGAAAAUAAAGGCGUGUUGACCCAGGAGACAGCUCCCCUUUCAGUGCUCCCUUCUGCCCUUUCUGUUUUCUGUGUUUCAGUGCCGUUCAAGCCCAGAAACUCACCUUGCACCUGGCAACAUCUGCCACCUGUAAAUGCUGGAGCUUCACAGGUCCCCUCCGUGCAGCAGUCGGGCCACAGAGCUGUACUGAUCCUCGGUUUGCUGGUAGAUAUGGGGAGAUUCUGCUCCUCACUGCAGAAAGACUCAUUUUUCAGGGCAGAAGGAAAAUGCAUUUGCUAUUCAGCAUCACUGAAGACACAAACUGAAGAUCCACGUAAGCAAUAAGUGUCUCCCUUCAGGUUUGCUCCAACUGACUGAUAGCCCAGCAACAUGCACCAGUAAUUCAGCUUCCCC
rnacentral:lncRNA from 1 species